GCAUAUCAAUAAGCGGAGGAAAAGAAACUAACAAGGAUUCCCCUAGUAACGGCGAGCGAAACGGGAAUAGCCCAACUUGAAAAUCUCCCUUUGGAGAAUUGUAGUCUAGAGAAGCGCCCUCUGAGGCGGGUGGAGCCCAAGUUCGCUGGAAGGCGACGUCAGAGAGGGUGAGAACCCCGUCGGCUCUUUCCUUAGUCUCCCCACGAGGUGCUUUCCAAGAGUCGGGUUGUUUGGGAAUGCAGCCCAAAAUUGGUGGUAAAUCCCAUCUAAGGCUAAAUAUUGGCGAGAGACCGAUAGCGAACAAGUACCGUGAGGGAAAGAUGAAAAGAACUUUGAAAAGAGAGUUAAAAAGUGCUUGAAAUUGUUGAGGGGGAAGCGUUUGGAAGCUGUGUGUGCGCCUAGGCUUAUGCGUCUCUAACGAGCCGCUGUAUGUGCUAGGUGCUGGUCAGCAUGGGUUAGCUUGGCAGGAUAAAAGCUAGGGUUGUUACCUAGUCUAUGCUGCCGAGCUGACCAAGGUGUGAAGAGUGCCUUGUCCUUCGGGAUCUGCGCUCUCAAGAUGCUGGCAGAAGGCUUUCAACCGGCCCGUCUUGAAACACGGACCAAGGAGUUCAACAUGUAUGCGAGUUGGUGGGUGGAAAACCCAUGAAGCGCAAGUAAACUGACUGGUGGGAUGGCCUGUGCCUGCACCAUCGACCGACCAUGAGCUUCUGCGAAAGGUUUGAGUGCGAGCAUACCUGUUGGGACCCGAAAGAUGGUGAACUAUGCCUGAGCAGGGCGAAGCCAGAGGAAACUCUGGUGGAGGCUCGUANAUGUGCUGACGUGCAAAUCGCUUUUCGGACUUGGGUAUAGGGGCGAAAGACUAAUCGAACCAUCUAGUAGCUGGUUCCCUCCGAAGUUUCCCCCANGAUAGCUGGAGCUUGAUCAGUUUUAUCGGGUAAAGCGAAUGAUNAGAAGUUCGGGGGAUGAAACAUCCUUCACCUAUUCUCAAACUUUAAAUAGGUAAGACGUCUAGGUUGNUUGAUUGAACCUAGGCAAUCAAUGUGAGCUCCAAGUGGGCCAUUUUUGGUAAGCAGAACUGGCGAUGCGGGAUGAACCGAUAGCUGAGUUAAGGUGCCCAACUACGCGCUAACCUAGAUCCCACAAAGGGUGUUGAUUGAUAUAGACAGCAGGACGGUGGUCAUGGAAGUCGAAAUCCGCUAAGGAGUGUGUAACAACUCACCUGCCGAAUCAAUUAGCCCCGAAAAUGGAUGGCGCUGAAGCGCGUGACCUAUACUCAGCCAUGGAGGCAAGUGCGAAGCUUCCAUGAGUAAGAGGGCGUGGGUGUCGUUGCGCAGCCUGAGGCGUGAGCCUGGGUGAAACGGCAUCUAGUGCAGAUCUUGGUGGUAGUAGCAAAUAUUCAAAUGAGAACUUUGAAGACUGAAAUGGGGAAAGGUCCAUGUGAACAGCAAUUGGACAUGGGUUAGUCCAUCCUAAGAGAUGGGGUAAUCCUGUGUAAAGAGCGCGAUUCGCGCUGCCCAUCGAAAGGGAAAAGGGUUAAGAUUCCCUUACCUGGACAGGGCGGCUGACGGUAACGUAAGCGAGCCUGGAGACAUCGGCAUUGGCCCUAGGAAGAGUUCUCUUUUCUUUUUAACAGCUCGAAGGCCCUGGAAUCGAAUCAUUCGGAGAUAGGGCUCAGAAGCUGGUAAAGCACCGCACUUCUCGCGGUGUCUGGCGCGCCAAUGACGGUCCUUGAAAAUCCAGGGGANCGAUUACCGAUCCUGCCANGUCCUACUCAUUNCCGCAUCANGUCUCCAACGUGAACAGCCUCUAGUCGAUAGAACAAUGUAGAUAAGGGAAGUCGGCAAAAUGGAUCCGUAACUUCGGGAAAAGGAUUGGCUCUGAGGGUUGGGCCUAGGGGUCUGCGCUCAGAAGCCAAGGACUGUCGGCGGUCUGCCCGAGCUGCCUCAAGCGGCGAGGGCGGACCACUGCGUGUCUUUGGUGGACGGGCGUAGAAAGCUUCGGCGUUCCCUAGGCGACGAACAACCGACUCAGAACUGGUACGGACAAGGGGAAUCCGACUGUUUAAUUAAAACAAAGCAUUGUGAUGGUCCUAAAGGAUGUUGACACAAUGUGAUUUCUGCCCAGUGCUCUGA
rnacentral:rRNA from 1 species